rfam:Dipodomys ordii contig_28462, whole genome shotgun sequence.
GGGAAUGUGGCUUAGUGGUAAAGUGCUUGCCUAGCAUGCAUGAAACCCUGGGUUUAAUUCCUCAGUAUCACUU